rnacentral:sRNA from 1 species
AGAGGCCUCUGCUCUGCCAGCCUGGGAGUCAUCUUCACCCUCAGGCUGGUAGACUCCAGUCUCUUAGGUCAGAAUGGGAUUAGAGACCCGUUCCUGAACCAGUCACACACAGCGGGUGAAACUGCUAUGAUUGGUUUAGACUUAGAGACUGGAAUGGAUGCUGGCCUAGAAGCGAAGACACAUAGAAGCAAUGUGUACCUAGACUGUUGUCCUAAAUGCCAUUUCCUACCAGGAAGGAACCAGAGUCUUUGCAGAAAUGUAUCAUUUCACAUCUGGAUCCUUAGAAUAUACACAAAGUUUUCAUGGACCACACAUUAUGAAACACUGGAUUAGCGCAAAGUGAAAUGCUUCCAGAGUAGGAGCCACUAUUCUGAGGAAUCUUGGAAGAAAAAUCCCCAGAUAGCAGAUGACUGGUAGGAAGAUGAGGCAAGUUUGCGGUCCAUUGUCAUGGAUAGUGGAGACAACACUGGGCCAGAAGUGGUAAGACCUGAAUCCAAGACUCAGCUCUGCCACUUGCUAAAUGGGACUUUGAAUAAACCAUUUCUCUGCACUUAAGUUCCUUACCAACAAAACGAGGGAAGUGGCCUACAUGCCUAGAUAUCAACAUUUCAUGUCAUGUAGAGAUCUAGCAUCACAAGACUCCAAGUCAUCCUCUGUUGCCUUUAAGAAAUUAGAAUUCAAGGAAUCAGAAUUGAAGUGAAUCUGACUACACUAAGCCUAUCACUUGUGACAGCCAUGGGAAGAUAUCAUUGGUUGCUGAGGAGCAGAAAUAAGCAGAGACCUAUUGUGUUAGGUUAUCAUUCAUUUCAGACAAAAAGCAGAUCAGCAAGUUUUCAUAUUGCACUAUUUUCAAUGGCUGGAGCAUCAACAUUUUACAACAAGAAAAAAAUUAAAAUUCUUCAACAUUUGGAAAAGAAGUGUUUGUAAAACUUUUCACAUCCAUUCACCAUCCGGAAAAGCAAGGUUUUACAGUGAGGCCUGAUGAUGUCUAGAGUCACCAUGCAUCUUGGAAAAUGACCUCCUAUUUAUUUCUUCUACAGGACACCAUGGUGUUCACCUUUCUACAACUUUACACUUGCUGAGGACAUAUUGUGGAAAAUUAAGAGAAAUAUAUAUGGAUGGCCAAGGCUGUAGAUGGAUGUCCAAGCCUUUUUACUGGGGAAUGUUUUCAGAACAAAAUGAGUUACAGGUUCAAGAGUGAAACCCAACAAAUCUUGGCUCUUUUUUUCUCUACUAAAUUCCAAAUCAAAA